rnacentral:rRNA from 1 species
UGGGGAAUAUUGCACAAUGGGCGCAAGCCUGAUGCAGCAACGCCGCGUGCGGGAUGACGGCCUUCGGGUUGUAAACCGCUUUCAGUAGGGACGAAGGGUGACUGACGGUACCUACAGAAGAAGGACCGGCUAACUACGUGCCAGCAGCCGCGGUGAUACGUAGGGUCCGAGCGUUGUCCGGAAUUAUUGGGCGUAAAGGGCUUGUAGGCGGUCCGUCGCGUCAGAAGUGAAAACUCAGGGCUUAACCCUGAGCCUGCUUUUGAUACGGGCGGACUAGAGGGAUGCAGGGGAGAACGGAAUUCCUGGUGGAGCGGUGGAAUGCGCAGAUAUCAGGAGGAACACCGGUGGCGAAGGCGGUUCUCUGGGCAUUACCUGACGCUGAGAAGCGAAAGCGUGGGGAGCAAACAGG